CAUUGCCGAUUUGCUCUUUAUUUUACACUCAAACCUCAAACCUCAAACCUUGGACCCUUCGUGAUGUCUCAAACUGCAACAACAAUGGGUGAGCGUGUUCCAAACGAUGUCGUGGAAGGCAUCCUGGGUCAGCUACCAGUGAAAUCCUUAACCCAAUUCAGGUGCGUUUCGAAAUCUUGGGACUCCAUCAUCACUGACCCCACUUUCAUUACCAAACACUUCAAGCUCAACCUUAACCAAUCCGAAUCGUUAAUAUCCACAAACGCUCACAGUGGGUAUUUGCUAUAUACUACAAAGGAUGAGAAUAGUUCACCAUCUUCCAAACAUCUGUGUACGGUUGUUUGCAACAGUGACAGCACAUAGACCCAGAUUUCAAGGUUUGAAAUCCCCUCACUUUUUGAGAAAUAUAGUAUAGUUGGUUUCUGUAAUGGCUUGUUCUGUCUAGCUAGUCGUGUCUAUGAUCUUGAUCACAUUAUAUAUUUGUGGAACCCAAGUAUUAGAAUGUUUAAGAAGCUUCUAUCUACUCCCUUUACUAACGAGGAUAAUAAGAUAUAUACGAUGUCUGUUGUUGGACUUGCUUAUAAUUCUCAGAACAAUGACUUCAAGAUUCUGAGACUUCUGUCUGUUCUUUGGGGAGAGGCUGAGGCCGAGAUUUACAGUUUGAGUACAGAUUCCUGGAGAAAGGUUGUAAUAUCGAUGGAGUCCUUAAGAGGGUAUGAACCCAACUUUGGAAGAAUUUUUCAGAUUGAUCCACCCUGUAUAUUUUUGAAUGGAGUUUUGCACACCGUAGCAUACACUAGCCGCCACCCUUUCAUCCUGUCCUUUGAUGUCAAUGAUGAGAGCUUUCGUGAGAUGUUGUUGCCUUUUAAUCACAUAGAUGUGGUUACGUUUUCUCAUCAUGCAUUGUUUAAGGGAUCCCUAGCUCUUUUUUGCUUUUGCUGUUAGUCGUAUGGGUGUCUUAUGCAACAUAUGGGUUAUGGAGGAGUAUGGUGUGGCUGAGUCUUGGACUAGAAAAUAUAUGGUACCAAUGAUUCAGUGUAGGGUUGUUCUAUGGCUGCACUGAUAAGGGUGAACUUUUGAUUAAGAAUGCCACUGGGCUGAUUUCAUUUGACCCUGAGAAUCAAAAGCAGAACAUUCUUGCAAUUGAAGAUGCUGAUUGGGUGGGUUUCACAGCUAAUUCAAUGGAGAGCUUGAUUUUACUCAAUGGCGGGUAGAGCAAGGCAGAUGGUUUUAAGCACCUGCAAAACAAGCAGAAUAAAUCUUGUUGAUCUAGCUGGUUCAGAGCAACAAAAGUUAACUGGUGCAGCAGGGCUGCGUUUAAAGCAAGCUGGUAAUAUUUGUAGAUCACUUUCAUAGCUUGGGUAUUGUAACACCUGCCUCACUUAAAUUUAAUUUAGUUACUUCUAGAGUGGAGUUGAUGAAUUAUUUAAUUUAUUUUUAAGGUGAUAUUAUUUUAUAUUAUGAUAUCUACAAAGAAAAUAAAUAAAAGAAGAUAUAACGUAAGAGUUAUUUUUGUGGAUUAUUUAUAUUUAACUUUUAAUCUCCUUAGAUAAGAGAUUAAAACCUAUUUGGAUUAGGAGUUUAAGUGUUAUUGGAAUCCAUUUAGAGUCUGUUUGGAUACCGCUUAUUUUGCUGAAAAUUGAAAACUUAUUGUUGAAAGUACUGUAGUAAAAUAAUUUAUAAGCUAGCUGAUUUUUUGGGCUGAAAGUACUGUAGCUUCAGCUAAAUAGUAAUGUGAACAGUACAAAAUAAUUCAUCUGCGUUUUUCAUCUUGUUGUGGGGUUUGUGAAAAAUAACGUGGGACCCAAGUAAUUUUUAGCCAAACACGCAAAACGUGGACGCAAAACGCUAUCCAAACACUCACUUAGAGUUCUAACCUAUCUAAACAACCUUAAUUUGAGUUUAAUUGGGAAUUAAAGUCUUGGAAGCUUAUUUAAGUUAUAGUGGGUCUUAAACUCUAGCCCAAGUAGGAUUGUUAUUUAAGAGUACUAAUUGGAGUGAGCUUGAUCUUCCUAGACUGAAUUGGAGUGUUAUUUAGAGGUAUAUAUACUGGGUCUUUUAAGUCUUUCAUGUGAAAGGUAGGGAGAGACACUGGAUGCUAAAAGCUACGGCAAAAAGGAUCAUUGCCAAACUUGACAAAGAUGACAUCAAGGUAACUUCUAAGGAGCUUACUAUAGAUUGUGUGUGUGAUAUCAUAGGUUAAAGAUACAUGUUGUAUAUCUCCAAACAGUAGAGUCGAUAUUACAAGAUUUACAUGUUGCAGGAUAUCUCUAAGAUGAUGGUAUAGGAUUUCUUGAAGUUUCUGCGUUAUGACUUAAUUAAGUGGCAUGAUACGCAUCUAUAUAUAUUAUAUGUAGAGAGUAAAGAGUCAUAAUUGAUGUACAUAGCAUGGUGAGUCAUAAGAUUACAUGAUAUCAAUACCCCAAUUGAGAUCGAAUUCCCUAUAUCCAAUUUAAAUAGACUAUCAUGAGAUGUAAGUAAAUACUGAUGCUUGUGGAUUAUUUCGGAUCUGAUGGUAAAAUAUUAAAUACUAAUGAUAGGCCUUUGGUUAAGAAACAUUGUUAGGAUUUGACAUGUAGGUAUGAUGUAUAAAGGUCCAUAUAUGAUUUUGGAAGAGGGAUAGCAUGAAUGGAUUAUGUAAAUAGAGUAAGAAUGACUUAACAAAGCAAAAUCAUCUCUAUAGCUAAUGAAAGAGCUUUUGGUGGCUGGUUUAUUUAUUUUAGUAAGAGGAUUUUUAAUUAGUAGUGGAAAGCUUAGCACUUAAUAAAUCAUCUAUUUAUGUAUUAGGUUCGAGUGACAUCGGCUUGGAUAGUUGAGUUCUAAUGUGUUUUGGUGAUUUGAGAUUAGUGGACUUCAGAACAAGAUGUCUCUCAAGACGUAUAUAUUUAUAUAAAUUUGUGGUAAAAAUAUAUUUAUAUAUACAUAAUUGCAAAAGUGAAGUUUCUAAAAACUUAUACCAUUGUUGAUGCUUUAUACAUACCUGAAUUUUAUUAUUUUUUGUAUAUUAUUUUGAAACUAUAUAUGCUAAGAAUGACUCAAAAUCAUAUUUUUGAGAAAGUAUUUGUCAUAUGAUAUAUGAUUAGUAUUGACAAUAGUAUAAUAAAGUAAGAAUGUUUUCAAACGAGUCAUCUAGAUAGUCUGUAACCUUUGCUAACAUAGGGUUAAGUGUUGGUCUUCGGCGAAUGUAGUGUUAUUGUAGUGUGGUGCAGUGUUAUUGUUUGCUCUUCGGAGCCAGUGUUAUCAUUUGCUCUUUGGAGUCAGUGUUGCCUCUUUGAGGUUAGUGUUAUUGUUCCUCAUGGGAAUCACCUUCCGAGUGUUUAGCAGUUUAUGUCUUUGUCUGACUAAUGUUUAACGUUUUUCAUAUCAAACUAUUGUUUUAUUGUUAUUGACCUUUAUAAGUAGAAAAAUUGUUUAUUACUAUAAUAUAUUGUUUCUACCUAUUUAGUGUAUUUUGGCCAAUUAAAGUGAUUAUUAUUUUAUUUAAUGAUUACAGCGUUAUAGUUAAAUGUUUUAUUUUUGAUAGUUUUACAAAGUAUAUUAUAUUACUGUUAAAACUAUUUGUAAAUGUUUUGUAAAGCUUAUAUUUUAUCAAUGAUACUAUUGAUUUGUUUUGAAAGACAUGCUCAUGUUAUAUAGUCUCUUAUUAAGCUUCUAGCUCACCCCCCUUUUCUCCACCCUUUCAUAUUAGAGUAGUGGAAUAUAUUUUGAUGUUAUAUCAUUGGAGUCAUAGAUUGAAGAUUCCUUUGGAGCUAUGUUAGUUGAUGAACUGUUUUAGUAUAUUUUUCUUAAGAUAGUGAGUUUAGUAUUCUUGAAACUAUUUGGGAUUGUAUUUGAAGACUUUAUUGAUAAAAGUUUUAGUUUGAUGGAUUUUAUAAGAAAGACUUGAUGAUUUGAUUCUUACUUGUGAAUAUUUAAUUACGUUUUGUUCCAUUAUAGCAAAUGUUGAUUAUUUAUAAGAUAGGUCAUGCAUCUAAAUCCUUGGUAUGAGUUUGGGGUGUCAUAGGUAUGAUCAAACAUAUCUUCUAUCUUGUUUGGUUUAGUUUACCAAUUGCUCAAUAUUGCUGUAUGUACAAAGCCGCCAAAAACAUAUAUGAUCAAUUAGGUACAAUAUGGCAUAACACAUAUUUGAGUUCUAAAUUUGAUGUCAUCAUGAUUGAUCCAUCCACCUUCAAAAUUAUUUCAGUAAUCCUAUUGAUUCAAAAUGGGUGGGUUGAUUUCUCUCCUAUAAUUGAAUGCUACAUUGAAGGAGAUGAGAUGUCAAUGGAAUGCAAAAUAAUGGAGAAGGAAGAAUAUUAAUUUCAAAUAAUAUAUAUAUAUAUAUAUAUUUUUUGAAAAUAAAAAAUAAAACAGUGGAGAAGGAAGCUGGUAAGAAGGUAACACAUUUGAGUACAAUCUAUAAAAAAUGAAGAGAAUACUGCAAAAAAACAUCCUAAACUUUUGGUCAAAAUCAACCUAAACCCCUAAUCUUCUAAUUUGAAAUUAGAAGCCACUGAACUUUGAGAAAUACCCAAAUUGUUCCUUAAUUUAAGGAUCUAAAUCUCUAAGUAUUGAAGUGCUUAUGGAAUAGGUUCAGUUCAUUGCACGCUUUUUAACUGCUUGCAUUGAUGUUCACUUGGACCAUGGUCUUGCCACAAAUAUUAUCAUUGACUAAAACAGUAUUUGAUGGCUCUAGUGGCACGCCAAACUCAUUUAAGAUUCAUAUAGAUCAUGGUGUUUCUUGCGUCUAUCUGAUCUUAUAGAAUUCUCAAUUGCUCCUACUACACAAAUUUAGUUGCACCAACUUCAAUGAGUUCAUAUAAUGCUACCCUAAUAUAUGCAUAUUUAACAAAAUUGAUUUUUAAUUUGAGAAAUUCACUUUUCUUUUAUUUUUUGAUAUCCCCAAUUAGUUAUGGGACUUGAAUGGACAACUGCAUAAAUCCUAUAUGAGAAUGAAAGGAGAAAAUUGACGAAGAAGAAAAACAAAAGAGCCUUUGAGCGGCUAGUGGUAACUAAAUUCUUGUGUUUGUGUUUUCCGAUGCACAAAAUUGAACAUGUUUGUAUGAAUUUAAGUAAAUGAAAAAAAAAAAAAAAAA